GACGAACGCUGGCGGCGUGCCUAAUACAUGCAAGUAGAACGCACAGACAAUACCGUAGUUUGCUACACCAUAAACAGUGAGUUGCGAACGGGUGAGUCACGCGUAGGUAACCUGCCUGGUAGCGGGGGGUAACUAAUGGAAACGAAAGCUAAUACCGCACCAUCUUGAUUAUUGCAUGAUACUUGAUAGCAAGAUGCUAUUGCUUAACUACUAGCUGGAUCUGCGUUGGAUUAGCUAGUAGGUGAGGUAACGGCCCACCCAGGCGACGAUUCAUAGCCGACCUUAGAAGGUGAUCGACCACACUGGGACUGAGACACGGCCCAGACUCCUACGGGAGGCAGCAGUAGGGAAUCUUCGGAAAUGGACGAAAGUCUGACCGAGCAACGCCGCGUGAGUGAAGAAGGUUUUCGGAUCGUAAAGCUCUGUUGUAAGAGAAGAACGGGUGUGAGAGUGGAAAGUUCACACUGUGACGGUAUCUUACCAGAAAGGGACGGCUAACUACGUG
rnacentral:rRNA from 1 species